rnacentral:lncRNA from 1 species
CUGUGGUAUAUGGAGGUUCCCAGGCCAGGGAUCCAAUCAGAGCUGUAACUUCGGCCUACGCCACAGCCACAGCAACGUGGGAUCCAAGUUGCGACUGCGACCUACACCGCAGCUCACGACAACGCCAGAUCUUCAACCCACUGAGCGAGGCCAGGGAUCUAACCUGCGUCCUCAAGGAUGCUAGACGGGUUCAUUAACUGUUGAGCCACAUCGGGAACUCCAACACUUUAAUCAUUUUUAAGUGUACAGCUCUGUGGCAUUAAAUACAUUCAUAUUGUUGGAUAACUAUCAACACCAUCCAUCUCCGGUAAGGCCAUUUACAUUUACCUGGUGUGAAAAUUAGCCUUUGAGUACUUUCUUAUCAGGAAUUAAUUUCAACUGGUUAGGUACUAUAUUGUGACAGAGAAAAAGAUCGCUAUAGUGUAUUGGAAUCUGAACCAGCCCCUCGUCUUAUUAAAGUUCUAUGAAGUUAUAUUUCCUGUUUAAUUAGAGUAACAGCUAUAUUCCUCUUUUCUCCAAAAAAGUACAGCAGUGGCACCUGAUCAAAUAGUGAUUUUUAAGACAGUGAAUGCUCGGAGGGGCACUCUGCUAAAUAUUUAACAUGCAUCAGCUCAGUAAGCUUUGCAACAUUUAAUCAUCAUGUCCCUAUUUAUUUUUUGGGGGGUGGGGGAGUGCCGUACCUGCGGCUUAUGGACGUUCCCAGGCUAGGGGCCGAAUGGGAGCUGCAGCCGCUGGCCUACACCACAGCAACAGCAACACCAGAUCCGAGCCACAGCAACACGGAGUCCUUAACCCGCUGAGCAAGGCCAAGGAUGGAAUUCUCAUCCUCAUGGCUACUACUCUGGUUCAUCAUCUCUUGAGCCCCAAGGGGAACUACGAUCAUGUCCCUACUUUACAUGUGAAGGGAACUGAGAUACAUAUGGAGGUUAGAUAAACAGUAAAGGUUCCACAAGUGGCAAGGUGUGGCGAUGAGUUUCAGCUUCCUGAAACUAACUUGGUUCACCAAGUUCCCUACAGCAUCCGCAUCCCCUGAGAAGCUGUUAGAAAUGCAAAUCCUGGAGCUCCUGCUGUGCAAUGGGAUUGGAGGUGUCUUGGGGUGCAACAAGCCCUCCGGGUGCCUGGGGAGCCUGUUAAAGUUGAAGCACGUUGUGCUCAUCACUGUCUCACUGCAUUUCCCCUUCUCAAGCCUCUUUUCUCCUCUGUCAAGUCCCAUCAAAUGUUCCAGACACACAAAGUCUCCAUUUUUGUGCCCCACCUAAGCCUAGCCUCCCAGAAGUUGCCCCAUUCUUCGAACUGACUUCUCUCCUUCCUCUUUUCUGGUCUGUCUUCCUGCCGCUGAAGACGCCUCUCUCCUGGAACUGGUUUCUGCUAUUAUUUAACAGAAGAGCAAUCCUACCAGGCUUUGAUUCAUUUGCUCAUUCAUUCAAUACAUAUUUACAGACCCUCAUAAUAUUUUAGAUGCUUUUGAGGAAGUGAUCCAGGUAUUUGGGUUAUAUUCAUGAAUAAAAGACAAAGAUAACUGGCCUCCUGCAGAUCUCAUAAUGUUACUGAAAAUGAAGAUAUUUAGGUCGUAUGCUAGACAUGUGGAUUUUUCAGGUGUGACACACGACCCUAGAACCCGCAUUUUAUCAAGCAUUGCAGGGGCUUCUGAUGCCUGAAUUCUGUGAAAACAUGCUCUGAAGUAGUUUGAUUAGCAGCACACAGUAAUUCACUCGGUCCUUCUAGGUUUUCCUUUGUUUUCUUUCCACAUUGGGGUCUAUGCAGGCAGGGGUGGGAUAUGAAAAAGGAAAGAUAAAAGCUGAAGCAACUGAAGCAGAACUUUUUCACCUAGGGAAAAUUUCUCAGGUUUUCUAGGACUAGCUCUGCAGAAAUCAUAUCACUUAGCUUGAGCCCUGGCUGAUGAGGUUGACAGAUGAUAACGAAUGUCACAAAGAGGUAAAGAGGCAAAGGUGGCCCUGUAGCCCAUGCACUGCCAGCCAGGUCCAACAGCUGCUGGUCAGACAUGUGUGGCCUGCUGGGCCAUGACCUGGGCAGUCUUUUCCGGUUUUCCAAAAUCAACACCUUUAAUUCUGAGUGGUAGUUUGGAAUCAUUUUCAAGUCAUCUUGAUAUCCUCCUCUUUCCUAAUAAGAACAAGACCAGUUUGUUUAACAUUUCCUCAUACCACAGAUUUUUUUCACGAGACCUCACCCACUCCCAGACAAUAACAGCAUCCUUCCCGUGGGUUGGUGACCAGGGCCGUAUCUAAGAGGUAGAAUAGCGUUCUGCACAGCUGCAUUGUCCCAGCCUCCUCUUUGUUUCAGCUUCUUCUGCUGAGAUAACCUUGAACACAGGGAAAAUAUUUCAACUGUCCUCUCCCUUUUCCAAGAUGCCUCCCAAAUUCCUGCCUGGUGUCAAGCCCUGUUCCAUUAUUCUGUUUAGAAGAUAAUGUGGACUCACUGUGCACCCAGAGCAAACAGGAGGCACCAAAUGGUCCACAGGGGAAGUUGCCAUAGGAGGGGCAGGGGCAGGGGCAGGCAAGGCUCUAUCCCAGCCUGCUAGAGUCCAGACUAUAGGCCAGAGGACAAAUGAAGUCAGCAAUCUGAGCUGGAAGUGGCUGUCACAGCAGCCAGGAAUUAUGUUCUUAAAACACGCAAGACCAAAGAUCUAUUCUACUCAGAACAACAGGUACCAACUCCAAAGGUUCUACCAAGGUACACAGCAGGGGGUAGGACGCUUCUGAGAUACAUAGUGUAGGUUCACUAAUCUAAUUCCUGCAACUGGGCCAUCUCCCUCAGUUCUAAUGAAGAUUCUAAAAAAGAGCUUCUUGACCACACAAAUUCUGCUCCCAAGGGACAGCUGGUAAUGUCUGAUCAUGGCCAGAGAAUAGCACCAUGUGUAUAGAAGAUGCUAAAUAAAUAUUUAUUGAAAGGAUAAGGGACUAAAUGGUACCCAGGAAUGUUUUGUGGGAGAACAUGACUGUCCUUGUUCUAAACCUCAAAGACUAGAAAUGAUAUCCCCAAACACUCCCUAAAUAACACAUUCUGGUCACCUACGAAAUAUAUUUACGUUUCAUCUCAUGUAUCUUACAGUUCUAUUUUCAUUCGGCCUACUACCUCUUGGGAUUAUUAGAUUAAGUAUAUAUUAUAUUAAGUAAUCUUAUUAUGUAACACAGAACUACCUUUUAUUUAUUCUAAUGCUAGCCUUUCUAAACUCUAAAAUUUAAACCAGUUCUUGUGUCCUAGGAUUGUGACUGGCUUCCAGGCUUGUAUUUCUUUCAUACAGCCUUUAAAGAUUUUGUCUCUUUGGAAUCACAGUGUUUUAGCGUUCUUGGUUUGUCCUCAUACAGCAUUUACUCACCGACGACAGGUCAGAAUGACCCACUCUCCUCCUUCCUGGUACCCAGAAGGCCCGCCAGAGAAGGGAGCAAUCUGGCACGUCCCCGGGGACAUCUGAUCCAAAGCCUCCUUAUCACACUUCACUGGGCUGUUCUUCUUACCCUGAGUGUCAGCAUGCACUUAGGGGCUGGCUGUGAGGAGGCUGUAGACACCCUGGUCCUGUGGAUUCAAGCUUCAGUGUUAUGUAACCCAACUUCAGAAUUCCCAAUGGUCAGAUCAGCAGUUAGACUGAGCCAUGAAGGUAGCCAAAAGCACCAGUACACUGUGAUGCACCCAUGGUCUAUUACCCAGACCUAGCCUUGCUCUCACUUGGGCAAUGGGCAGGCCUGUGACUUCUCUGAAAAAGAGAAUGAGAGGAUCUAUGGUAACUUGAAUUUCAGUUUGGGUGAGUGAGUCACUUAUUGCACACUCCUGCACUUCCUCUCACGGAAUAUUCUAGAAGGAUGACUUUGGGAAACAGAAACAGCUAUUCCCGCUAAUCCUUCUCAUACCCUAGCAAGUCAGAGUACCUGUUCCCUCAUUCAACAAGCAACCAAACACCAAGGAGGGUAUGACAGAUA